AAGCAGAAGGAGGGACAUCUGGCCUGUGAAAGAGGGAUCGUACAACAAAUUCAGGCAACAUUGUUUAUCUGUAGCCAACUCUUACUGCUCUACAAACACUUGACAAUGAUCAGAAAUCAAUUUCUGUAUUCAUAUUUGUUCUGCUGGCAUUUUGGCUGUUCACUGUUCAGCAGCGUUGAGCAAACUCCCGCUUUACUCAUUGUGAGAUCCGGAGAGUCCUGCAAUAUCUCCUGUUCUCACGGUAUCACCAGCUACAACACCAUACUGUGGUACUACCAGCACGAGGACGGCCAGGGCAUGCACAGUAUUGGAUAUUCCUUCCAUUCUUCUCACACUCUGGAGAAUGUAGAAGAUAAACGAUAUGAGCUGAACGGAGAUGGCAAGAGUUCUGUGACUCUGAUCAUCUCGAAGCUCUUGCUGAAUGACAGCGCAGUUUAUUUCUGUGCAGCUAGUGCACACAGUGCUGAGGGCCUCCCAAAAGCCAUACAAAAAGCCCAUAAUCUUUCAUGCAUCUCUCUCAAGCGCUCAAGCCAAGCUGGAUUGCACAAGAGACGCUUAAGAUGAUACGAAGAGAUGAGAUGCAGCUCUGGAUAAUGUCUUCAAUGGUGUUAGAAUGUGCAACACUGACACUUUAAAUGAAUCAACAUCACAUUUACUUGAACUAACACUGUUGCCUUCUGUAGAGCUGCUUCCAGCUGAACUGAACAUUUAUUGUGGUUUAUAGAACUGAUUCAACAUUCAAUUAAAACGAAUAAUGGCAUUAUUAUCUGUAGAACUGAUUUAGACUUUGAAAUAGUUAAUUUACAUAAUUUUAACAUACACUAUGGCCGCACUCAGUUCAUUCAACUCAAAUCAUUCACUUCUCAGCAUUUUACAGUUUCUUGGGGUGUACCCCAGGGCUCAGUCCUGGGCCCCUGCUUUUUAUCAUCUAUCUUCUUCCACUUGGUAAUAUCCUCCAUAAAUAUAACAUACAAUUUCAUUGCUAUGCGGAUGACACCCAGCUCUAUCUCUCCGGCAAACCCUCUUCUUAUUUUCCACCUUCAUCCCUUACAGUCUGCUCAGCAGAAAUCAAAUCCUGGCUCUCUCUUAACUUCCUCAAAUUAAAUAGCUCAAAAACGAACCCAGGCUCAUUCUGAAAAUAUAGUCCCAUUGACGUUUCUGGACACUGCUAAAUAUGUCCCGGGAGGUACGUAUUGUUGCAGUUUUUGUUUUUGCGAAUCCACGAGAGGCCGCUGUGUGCGCUUUUUUUGUACCUCAAAUGUCUCUCGUGGGUGCCGUUCGCACCCGUGCUGUUCGUGUGAACCCACAGUAAACAGUACCCGGUUCUCAACAGUGUUACUCAGACAUCUCACCCCCGAACCUAACCCCCUAGUCUCUCAGAUUUUCAGGGAUUUAUGCUGGCAGGUGUGUGUGUGAGUCCAAUGCAGGACU